AAGUCGUAACAAGGUUUCCGUAGGUGAACCUGCGGAAGGAUCAUUAUCAAUGAUAUCCAUCAAACCCGUGAACUGAAAAACUGCAUUUCGGGAAGAAAUUCCCGAAUCUUGAACACUGCUUACAUUAAUCAGAUACAACAUUAAAUAAAUACAACUUUUAGCAACGGAUCUCUAGGUUCUC
rnacentral:misc_RNA from 1 species